rnacentral:rRNA from 1 species
AACCCAAAGGACUUGACGGUGUCCCACCCAACUAGAGGAGCCUGUUCUGUAAUCGAUAAUCCACGAUAUACCUAACCAUUUCUUGCCUAUCAGUCUGUAUACCUCCGUCGUAAGCUUACCGUGUGAACGAAUAAUAGUAGGCCCAAGGGCUUUAACACCACAACGUCAGGUCAAGGUGCAACUCAUGAAAUGGAAGCUAUGGGCUACAAUUUCUAACCUAGAACAAACGAAAUACUACAUGAAACAUAGUCAUGAAGGCGGAUUUAGUAGUAAGUAGGAAAUAGAGAGUCCUACUGAACCUGGCCCUGGGACGUGUACAAACCGCCCGUCACCCUCUUCGAUAG